rnacentral:rRNA from 1 species
AGUUUGAUCAUGGCUCAGAUUGAACGCUGGCGGCAUGCCUUACACAUGCAAGUCGAACGGUAACGGGCCUUCGGGUGCCGACGAGUGGCGAACGGGUGAGUAAUGCAUCGGAACGUACCUUUCAGUGGGGAUAACGUAGCGAAAGUUACGCUAAUACCGCAUAUUCUGUGCGCAGGAAAGCAGGGGAUCGCAAGACCUUGCGCUGAUUGAGCGGCCGAUGUCAGAUUAGCUAGUUGGUGAGGUAAAGGCUCACCAAGGCGACGAUCUGUAGCGGGUCUGAGAGGAUGAUCCGCCACACUGGAACUGAGACACGGUCCAGACUCCUACGGGAGGCAGCAGUGGGGAAUUUUGGACAAUGGGGGCAACCCUGAUCCAGCCAUGCCGCGUGAGUGAAGAAGGCCUUCGGGUUGUAAAGCUCUUUCGGCCGGGAAGAAAUCGCAUGGGCUAAUACCCUGUGCGGAUGACGGUACCGGCAUAAGAAGCACCGGCUAACUACGUG